UACGUAGGGUGCAAGCGUUAAUCGGAAUUACUGGGCGUAAAGCGUGCGCAGGCGGUUGUGUAAGACAGGUGUGAAAUCCCCGGGCUUAACCUGGGAAUUGCAUUUGUGACUGCACGACUAGAGUGUGUCAGAGGGGGGUGGAAUUCCACGUGUAGCAGUGAAAUGCGUAGAUAUGUGGAGGAACACCAAUGGCGAAGGCAGCCCCCUGGGAUAACACUGACGCUCAUGCACGAAAGCGUGGGGAGCAAACAGGAUUAGAUACCCUGGUAGUCCACGCCCUAAACGAUGUCAACUAGUUGUUGGGGAUUUACUUCCUUGGUAACGUAGCUAACGCGUGAAGUUGACCGCCUGGGGAGUACGGCCGCAAGGUUA
rnacentral:rRNA from 1 species